UGCCUACGGGGGGCAGCAGCGGGGGAUAUUGCACAAUGGGGGGAACACUGAUGCAGCGACGCCGCGUGGGGGAGGAAGCGCCUCGGCGCGAAAAGCCCUGUCAGCAGGGAAGAAAAUGACGGUACCUGAAGAAGAAGCCCCGGCUAACUACGUGCCAGCAGCCGCGGUAAUACGUAGGGGGCAAGCGUUAUCCGGAUUUACUGGGUGUAAAGGGGGCGCAGACGGCGAUGCAAGCCAGGAGUGAAAGCUCGGGGCCCAACCCCGGGAGUGCUCUUGGAACUGCGUGG
rnacentral:rRNA from 1 species